UCAAUCUCGGGUGCUCCAGGUGCCUAAUUUAGGCUUAAUAGGGAAUCCUGUGCAAAUCAGGAGCGGUCCCGCCGCCGUGAGCCCCUCUAAAGGCAAGCUUGUUUACCAGCCACUGUCUCUACAGGUAGAGAUGGGAAGGCCAAGCUUGUGGGGUGAGCCGGAAGACCUGCCUGGAGAUGGUCUUACUU
rnacentral:ncRNA from 2 species